AUUGAACGCUGGCGGCAUGCUUUACACAUGCAAGUCGAACGGUAACAGGCCUUCGGGUGCUGACGAGUGGCGAACGGGUGAGUAAUGCAUCGGAACGUGCCCAAUCGUGGGGGAUAACGUAGCGAAAGUUACGCUAAUACCGCAUAAGCCCUGAGGGGGAAAGCAGGGGAUCGCAAGACCUUGCGCGAAUGGAGCGGCCGAUGUCAGAUUAGCUAGUUGGUGGGGUAAAGGCCUACCAAGGCGACGAUCUGUAGCGGGUCUGAGAGGAUGAUCCGCCACACUGGGACUGAGACACGGCCCAGACUCCUACGGGAGGCAGCAGUGGGGAAUUUUGGACAAUGGACGCAAGUCUGAUCCAGCAAUGCCGCGUGCAGGACGAAGGCCUUCGGGUUGU
rnacentral:rRNA from 1 species